rnacentral:lncRNA from 10 species
ACAUUUUCUGUAGCUUUGCCCGAAGAGAGAAGCUGUUUUCUCUCAGAGAUGGAACAUGUUAGCUGGUUGCCAUGAUGUCUUCAUUUGUCCAUCGCUGCCCCUCUGUGAGCAGGCAGCCAUCAGGACAGAGAGUGGCAUGCUGGACAGGCCGACUCUGACAAGGAGCAAGGUGAGAAGUGGGACCCAUCCCACUCAAAUGAGGUUGCCAUGGUUAUCGCCCCUGGGAGGAUCUGUGCCCCUGGGGGAGAAAGGUUUCCUAACACAAUACAGAGAGAUGGAGAGGCCUCGGAGUCUAACUUCACACAUUUCAACGUUUUGUUCAGAACCAAUUCCAGAUUCUGGAACAAAGCCUUCCUCCCUUUCUUUUUCCCUCCUUCUAUUCACUUCUACCUCCUUCCUUUCAUUCCUCCUCCCUCCUUCUCUUCUCUUCCUCUGUCCUUCCCUUAGAGACACAUAAUUACAUAAACCCCAACCCUCAGUUCACAGCCCUCUCUCUUGGCUGUCCUGCGCAGCAUCUUGGAGCAGAGCAUUUUAAGUGCUUAGUGUUUCCCUGCUUCUCUCCUUCUCUUGAAUGGGUGGCUGGCUUUAAUCCUUCAAUUCCCGAAUGCUGUCACCCUGACACUGGGAGGCAUGGGGGCCAGCAGCCCAUAACCUGCUGUGACUGUGGAGGUACAGGGAUGGCGAUAUUCAUAUGCUUACUGACUUGCCAUCUAAUGCGAUGCAGACUAAAUCUCCUCUGAACAACCUUUUGUUUUUAGAGGAAACAAACUUUCCAAAGAUGUGCUGCAUCGAUUCCUGAGUGGAAGCACAGGGGAGCUGCAGGGAGUGCAGCCCUGGCAGUGUCAGGGUUCCCUGCAGCACCUUCUGUCCCUAAUGCUGAGCAGCUGUCAGAGGGAGUGCUGCAGAGAGCUGCCCGCUGCCUGCUCGGGAAAUCCUUUGCAAACUUCCCCAGUCACAGAGCAUUAGAGCGGAGCCCAGUGAGUUACUGCCUGGCCUGCUAUUUCUAGCCACCCCUCUCUUAAGCAGACAUAUGUACACAAGAGCAUUUCUAGACAGAACUAGGUUUCCUGUCGCCUGUGGCUUCAAACAGC